AGCGAACGCUGGCGGCAGGCUUAACACAUGCAAGUCGAACGCACCCUUCGGGGUGAGUGGCAGACGGGUGAGUAACGCGUGGGAACGUGCCCUUUGGUUCGGAAUAACUCAGGGAAACUUGAGCUAAUACCGGAUAAGCCCUUGGCUUUGGCCUGGGGGAAAGAUUUAUCGCCGAAGGAUCGGCCCGCGUCUGAUUAGCUAGUUGGUGGGGUAAUGGCCCACCAAGGCGACGAUCAGUAGCNGGUCUGAGAGGAUGAUCAGCCACACUGGGACUGAGACACGGCCCAGACUCCUACGGGAGGCAGCAGUGGGGAAUAUUGGACAAUGGGGGCAACCCUGAUCCAG
rnacentral:rRNA from 1 species